UAUCAUCUUAAGCUAUCAGACCGGCAGGAGCCAGGAGGAAGGGGAAAGCCACACCCUUUCCUGCUUUAAUUCCAUCACUCAACAAGGGCUCCCGAUGCCCUCGCGGUGCCAGGUGCUGCCCUGAGCCCCAGGGAGAACUUCAGCGAGGCAGGUACAGACCAGGCAAAGGAGGAUUGCUUCAAGAGCGGUGUGAUAACCUGGGCGGUGCCGCUGGACGGAGGGCAGAUCUUUGCAGGACCGGGAGAAAACCUGCGUUAGAAAUGUGACAGGGACACCAGUCUGCUUGCCAGGAUUAGAUGCACCACAAAGACACAGAGCUGCAGCCUCGCCAGGAUGGACCCCACCAAACACAGUGCACAUGGGCCCAGGAAACAUGAAACAAGUUCAAGUCUGAGCAGACACAUUAAUUGCGCUUUGCUAUCCGCAUACACAAGUAAUGUUUGGGGGCACAUACUGUGACUACUUUGGCCUCUCCCUCCAUACGUGUCUAUCAAUGAAACAUGCCCCUCACAACGUCGGAGGAAGAGUGUCACACUGUUGUUACAAAGGGGCAGAAGACACCUUCUCAAAUGACCCUCCUACCACAUUUCAUUGAUUCUGGAACUGCCUCCUCCAAUUUAUGAACCGGCCAAAGGCUUUCUGUACCUGGAAUUUGCUCCAUCCAGCCUUGGAAACAGAAAAGUGUGUGGCUGGGUCAGAACCCGACCUUACAAUCUUAACCACUUCACAGAGCCACACAGCCUGGCAAUCUUCCCUGCGCUGACCUGAGCGCACGUCUCCAGGGCGUGGGCGCCAUGUCCAGACUCCCCCUGUCACUUACCUGUGAAGUCCUUCUGUCCGGCAGCCUCUCUCUGGGGAGAUUCGCCCUUGCAGAAUGAACACUUGCCUGUCGCACACGCCUUCCUGGGGGCCUACUUUGUCCUCCCCAGCUCCCCUUUUUGAAUGGGACGCCAUUCCUAGCACCUGCGCCAACCUGGCAAUGGUGGCCCCCUUUCUACCCUCUGCCACUCCCGGUCCUACCACACCUGCCGUUCAUGCCUCAAACAUCUAAGCCCAGCCCUGAUGUUCCUUGUGCUGAACUUGGCUUGAACCUGAGCAGGUGUGUCCCCUAAAGGACAAGUCAAAUCUGGGCUUGUCUGGAAGCCUGGGGGUGGGGGUGCUGACCUGGGGGCCAGUGCAGGAGAGAAACAAAUGUCUCCUGGGAAAGAGGUCAAGGCCGAAGGGGAGACACAGGUGUGAGGGCACAGCUGCGGGGCCAGGAGGGAGGGGUGACACCGGGUGGAUUGCAGUGUCUGUCACCGGGGCCUCCAUGCCUGAGUCACAGGAGGCAGAGGGCAGGAUGGAAGAAUGGAGAACAGAACCAGCACUCACCCGCCCAGCACCAAGGCGGCGUGGGCAGUGCUGGCUCCACGGCUUGGCCAUUUGUCUUUUUCCUCCUGAGGAUGACUUAGAUAUUCUUUCCGGUAAACUGCUUGUUCUUCUGCUUUGUGAUGUACGGGAGCUCUUAUAGCCAAUGAUUAGCAGCCUUGUUUUCUAUGUUGCAAACAGUUAUACACAGCUUUCUUCCAGGGAGCUGCUGGUUUUUUAACUACCUGUAUGGUAUCUUUUUGUAUCCUGGCAUUUUAACUAUUUAUGUAGUCCGUCUAUCAGUCUGACACAGGGUGAAGGCUGAGCAGGGGUCCUUGGGUGCCCCAAAUGCUGUUUCCAGAUCUCGCCCUGGUGAUGUGGGUGUGUUCCCUUGGUGAAAAUUCAUGGAGCUGUACAUUUAGGAUUUGUUCAUUUUCAUAUAUACUUCAAUAAAAAAUAUGUUCUUUAAUCUA